CACGUAGGGGGCAAGCGUUGUCCGGAUUUAUUGGGCGUAAAGAGCUCGUAGGUGGUUCGGUAAGUCGGGUGUGAAAACUCUGGGCUCAACUCAGAGACGCCACCCGAUACUGCUGUGACUUGAGUCUGGUAGGGGAGUGUGGAAUUCCCAGUGUAGCGGUGAAAUGCGCAGAUAUUGGGAGGAACACCAGUGGCGAAGGCGGCACUCUGGGCCAGUACUGACACUGAGGUGCGAAAGCGUGGGGAGCAAACAGG
rnacentral:rRNA from 1 species